rnacentral:lncRNA from 1 species
UAUAGACCCCCCAAACAGUAUUACAACUUUCAAUUUAGCAGUUCAGAAUCUGAUACUUUUCGCCGGAGCCUUUCUGAAUGUCCGUUUGUUCUCAAAUUUGACAGUCAGGCUCGGUUUAACUUAACAAGAAGAACGAAAUUUUAAUCUUUCAGUUUUGACCAUUUUUUGUCACCGAAAGCUCUACCGACUAAAAUCUCUAACAGAUAGCAGUCAUAUUUUAUUUUUCACUUUCCAGGUGUCGGAAUGACAUAAAACUUUAAAUCUAACCUCAUAAAAAUAAUUUCGACAUAUUCUCUAAUUUUCAUAAUUUUCUAACACUGUGAAUUCUCUGCUAAAAUAUCAGUCCCGCCUCUUACAGAAAAUUCUAAAUCUUCUAUUUCCAUUCUAAUUUUAGCACAAGUCAUUUCUGACUUACAUUUUACUUCUUCAAGUCCAAUAAAAAAUAGUAUCUCACACUAUUUUUAUUUAUAUUUAUUUUUAUAUUAAAAUUCGGUACAUUACAUUCCACCCUUCUAAAAAAAAGUUUCGUCCUUAAAACUUAAACCACUCCUCAACUCCAUUUCUCGAGUAAUUGA